ensembl:lncRNA
GGUGGACAAUGACAAGGAAAUGAUACAAAGCUCAAUGGGUGAACUGAGAGUGAAAGAGGCAGAAAUGGUGAGAGAAAAAGACAACAUGGAUAACAAGAUGGCUAGGCUCAAAGAGGAAGAGGAUAGAAUGCGGGAAGAAAUAGGAAGGAAGAUGGACAUCUUAAAGCAGGAAAGUUGUGAAAUCAAAAGACUUAGAGAUGAAAUUGACAGUGAAAAGGACCAGCUGUAUGCAAAAUUGCUUGAGUUGGAAAAAAUGCAUGAAGAACUAGAUAGAGAGAAGAAGGAAGUGAAAGACAGGAAGGAUGAAACACUGAAAGAGAAAGAUCAGUUGGAAGAGAGGCGAGGUAAGAUAAGUAAGGAGAAAGAGGAAUUGGAUAUCAGUCUUGAACUGAUGAAAAGACAAAGGGAAGACUUGAUGAGCUUGAAGGAUGAAGCAGAAGUACAGACCGAGCCUAUGGAAACAGACUGGAAGGAAAAGCUCACGAGGGAAAGACAACAACUUGAAGAUGUAAAGGAGGAGAUACAGAAGGAAAAAGAAGCCUUUGAGAGAAAGAAGGGAUUGACCAUGAAAGAAAGAGAUGAGUUUGAUCUGAUGAAGUCUGAAACCCAGGGACAAUUGGAGGAAAUAGAACAAAACAAACAAGACAUUCGUGUGGAGAAGGAAAAGCUGGAUCAGAUCAAAGCUGAGUUAGAAAGACGGUCUGAAGACAUCAAUCAGCUCAUGGAUGAGACAAGACAGGAGAGGGGGAAGGUUGAAGAACUGGCUAUCCAAACUCAAAAACAAAGAGAAGAAAUGGUGGGUUUUAUGGAAAAGAACAAACAAAAGCAGAACGAACUGGAACUCAUGACUGACAAGAUUGAAAGAGAGAAACGAGACAUCGAAGACAGUCGGGAUGUGCUAACAAAGGAGAGAGAGGAGCUGGAACAAAUGAGGAGUGAGAUACAGCAACAGAGAGAGGAGCUGGAACAAAUGAGGAGUGAGAUACAGCAACAAAAAGAGGAGACAGAAUCUCACAUGGAAGACCAAAGGAAAGAGAAAGAACAUUUGGAACAAAUGACGACAGACAUGAAAAAACAGUUGCUAGAGGUGGACAAUGACAAGGAAAUGAUACAAAGUUCAAUGGGUGAACUGAGAGUGAAAGAGGCAGAAAUGGUGAGAGAAAAAGACAACAUGGAUAACAAGAUGGCUAGGCUCAAAGAGGAAGAGGAUGGAAUGCGGGAAGAAAUAGGAAGGAAGAUGGACAUCUUAAAGCAGGAAAAUUGUGAAAUCAAAAGACUUAGAGAUGAAAUUGACAGUGAAAAGGACCAGCUGAAUGCAAAAUUGCUUGAGUUGGAGAAAAUGCAUGAAGAACUAGAAAGAGAGAAGAAGGAAGUGAACAACAGGAAGGAUGAAACACUGAAAGAGAAAGAUCAGUUGGAAGAGAGGCGAGGUAAGAUGAGCAAGGAGAAAGAGGAAUUGGAUAUCAGUCUUGAACUGAUGAAAAGACAAAGGGAAGACUUGACAAGCUUGAAGGCUGAAGCAGAAGUACAGACCGAACCUAUGGAAACAGACUGGAAGGAAAAGCUCACGAUGGAAAGACAACAACUUGAAGAUGUAAAGGAGGAGAUACAGAAGGAAAAAGAAGCCUUUGAGAGAAAGAAGGGUUUGACCAUGAAAGAAAGAGAUGAGUUUGAUCUGAUGAAGUCUGAAACACAGGGACAAUUGGAGGAAAUAGAACAAAACAAACAAGACAUUCGUGUGGAGAAGGAAAAGCUGGAUCAGAUCAAAGCUGAGUUAGAAAGACGGUCUGAAGACAUCAAUCAGCUCAUGGAUGAGACAAGACGGGAGAGGGGGAAGGUUGAAGAACUGGCUAUCCAAACUCAAAAACAAAGAGAAGAAAUGGUGGGUUUUAUGGAAAAGAACAAACAAAAGCAGAACGAACUGGAACUCAUGAAUGACAAGAUUGAAAGAGAGAAACAAGACAUCGAAGACAGUCGGGAUGUGCUAACAAAGGAGAGAGAGGAGCUGGAACAAAUGAGGAGUGAGAUACAGCAACAGAGAGAGGAGACAGAAUCUCACAUGGAAGACCAAAGGAAAGAGAAAGAGCAUUUGGAACAAAUGACGACGGACAUGAAAAAACAGUUGCUAGAGGUGGACAAUGACAAGGAAAUGAUACAAAGCUCAAUGGGUGAACUGAGAGUGAAAGAGGCAGAAAUGGUGAGAGAAAAAGACAACAUGGAUAACAAGAUGGCUAGGCUCAAAGAGGAAGAGGAUGGAAUGCGGGAAGAAAUAGGAAGGAAGAUGGACAUCUUAAAGCAGGAAAGUUGUGAAAUCAAAAGACUUAGAGAUGAAAUUGACAGUGAAAAGGACCAGCUGAAUGCAAAAUUGCUUGAGUUGGAGAAAAUGCGUGAAGAACUAGAAAGAGAGAAGAAGGAAGUGAACAACAGGAAGGAUGAAACACUGAAAGAGAAAGAUCAGUUGGAAGAGAGGCGAGGUAAGAUGAGCAAGGAGAAAGAGGAAUUGGAUAUCAGUCUUGAACUGAUGAAAAGACAAGGGGAAGACUUGACGAGCUUGAAGGCUGAAGCAGACGCACAGACCGAGGCUAUGGAAACAGACUGGAAGGAAAAGCUCACGAUGGAAAGACAACAACUUGAAGAUGUAAAGGAGGAGAUACAGAAGGAAAAAGAAGCCUUUGAGAGAAAGAAGGGAUUGACCAUGAAAGAAAGAGAUGAGUUUGAUCUGAUGAAGUCUGAAACCCAGGGACAAUUGGAGGAAAUAGAACAAAACAAACAAGACAUUCGUGUGGAGAAGGAAAAGCUGGAUCAGAUCAAAGCUGAGUUAGAAAGACGGUCUGAAGACAUCAAUCAGCUCAUGGAUGAGACAAGACGGGAGAGGGGGAAGGUUGAAGAACUGGCUAUCCAAACUCAAAAACAAAGAGAAGAAAUGGUGGGUUUUAUGGAAAAGAACAAACAAAAGCAGAACGAACUGGAACUCAUGAAUGACAAGAUUGAAAGAGAGAAACAAGACAUCGAAGAAAGUUGGGAUGUGCUAACAAAGGAGAGAGAGGAGCUGGAACAAAUGAGGAGUGAGAUACAGCAACAGAGAGAGGAGACAGAAUCUCACAUGGAAGACCAAAGGAAAGAGAAAGAACAUUUGGAACAAAUGACGACAGACAUGAAAAAACAGUUGCUAGAGGUGGACAAUGACAAGGAAAUGAUACAAAGUUCAAUGGGUGAACUGAGAGUGAAAGAGGCAGAAAUGGUGAGAGAAAAAGACAACAUGGAUAACAAGAUGGCUAGGCUCAAAGAGGAAGAGGAUGGAAUGCGGGAAGAAAUAGGAAGGAAGAUGGACAUCUUAAAGCAGGAAAAUUGUGAAAUCAAAAGACUUAGAGAUGAAAUUGACAGUGAAAAGGACCAGCUGAAUGCAAAAUUGCUUGAGUUGGAGAAAAUGCGUGAAGAACUAGAAAGAGAGAAGAAGGAAGUGAACAACAGGAAGGAUAAAACACUGAAAGAGAAAGAUCAGUUGGAAGAGAGGCGAGGUAAGAUGAGCAAGGAGAAAGAGGAAUUGGAUAUCAGUCUUGAACUGAUGAAAAGACAAAGGGAAGACUUCACGAGCUUGAAGGCUGAAGCAGAAGCACAGAACGAGGCUAUGGAAAAAGACUGGAAGGAAAAGCUCACGAUGGAAAGACAACAACUUGAAGAUGUAAAGGAGGAGAUACAGAAGGAAAAAGAAGCCUUUGAGAUAAAUAAGGGAUUGACCAUGAAAGAAAGAGAUGAGUUUGAUCUGAUGAAGUCUGAAACACAGGGACAAUUGGAGGAAAUAGAACAAAACAAACAAGACAUUCGUGUGGAGAAGGAAAAGCUGGAUCAGAUCAAAGCUGAGUUAGAAAGACGGUCUGAAGACAUCAAUCAGCUCAUGGAUGAGACAAGACGGGAGAGGGGGAAGGUUGAAGAACUGGCUAUCCAAACUCAAAAACAAAGAGAAGAAAUGGUGGGUUUUAUGGAAAAGAACAAACAAAAGCAGAACGAACUGGAACUCAUGAAUGACAAGAUUGAAAGAGAGAAACAAGACAUCGAAGAAAGUUGGGAUGUGCUAACAAAGGAGAGAGAGGAGCUGGAACAAAUGAGGAGUGAGAUACAGCAACAGAGAGAGGAGACAGAAUCUCACAUGGAAGACCAAAGGAAAGAGAAAGAACAUUUGGAACAAAUGACGACGGACAUGAAAAAACAGUUGCUAAAGGUGGACAAUGACAAGGAAAUGAUACAAAGCUCAAUGUGUGAACUGAGAGUGAAAGAGGCAGAAAUGGUGAGAGAAAAAGACAACAUGGAUAACAAGAUGGCUAGGCUCAAAGAGGAAGAGGAUGGAAUGCGGGAAGAAAUAGGAAGGAAGAUGGACAUCUUAAAGCAGGAAAGUUGUGAAACCAAAAGACUAAGAGAUGAAAUUGACAGUGAAAAGGACCAGCUGAAUGCAAAAUUGCUUGAGUUGGAAAAAAUGCGUGAAGAACUAGAUAGAGAGAAGAAGGAAGUGAAAGACAGGAAGGAUGAAACACUGAAAGAGAAAGAUCAGUUGGAAGAGAGGCGAGGUAAGAUAAGUAAGGAGAAAGAGGAAUUGGAUAUCAGUCUUGAACUGAUGAAAAGACAAAGGGAAGACUUGACAAGCUUGAAGGCUGAAGCAGAAGUACAGACCGAACCUAUGGAAACAGACUGGAAGGAAAAGCUCACGAUGGAAAGACAACAACUUGAAGAUGUAAAGGAGGAGAUACAGAAGGAAAAAGAAGCCUUUGAGAGAAAGAAGGGUUUGACCAUGAAAGAAAGAGAUGAGUUUGAUCUGAUGAAGUCUGAAACACAGGGACAAUUGGAGGAAAUAGAACAAAACAAACAAGACAUUCGUGUGGAGAAGGAAAAGCUGGAUCAGAUCAAAGCUGAGUUAGAAAGACGGUCUGAAGACAUCAAUCAGCUCAUGGAUGAGACAAGACGGGAGAGGGGGAAGGUUGAAGAACUGGCUAUCCAAACUCAAAAACAAAGAGAAGAAAUGGUGGGUUUUAUGGAAAAGAACAAACAAAAGCAGAACGAACUGGAACUCAUGAAUGACAAGAUUGAAAGAGAGAAACAAGACAUCGAAGACAGUCGGGAUGUGCUAACAAAGGAGAGAGAGGAGCUGGAACAAAUGAGGAGUGAGAUACAGCAACAGAAAGAGGAGACAGAAUCUCACAUGGAAGACCAAAGGAAAGAGAAAGAACAUUUGGAACAAAUGACGACAGACAUGAAAAAACAGUUGCUAGAGGUGGACAAUGACAAGGAAAUGAUACAAAGUUCAAUGGGUGAACUGAGAGUGAAAGAGGCAGAAAUGGUGAGAGAAAAAGACAACAUGGAUAACAAGAUGGCUAGGCUCAAAGAGGAAGAGGAUAGAAUGCGGGAAGAAAUAGGAAGGAAGAUGGACAUCUUAAAGCAGGAAAGUUGUGAAAUCAAAAGACUUAGAGAUGAAAUUGACAGUGAAAAGGACCAGCUGAAUGCAAAAUUGCUUGAGUUGGAAAAAAUGCGUGAAGAACUAGAUAGAGAGAAGAAGGAAGUGAAAGACAGGAAGGAUGAAACACUGAAAGAGAAAGAUCAGUUGGAAGAGAGGCGAGGUAAGAUAAGUAAGGAGAAAGAGGAAUUGGAUAUCAGUCUUGA